GAUGAACGCUAGCGGCAGGCAUACAUGCAAGUCGAGGGGGUCAGCAAUGAUCACCGGCGCACGGGUGCGUAACGCGUAUGGAACCUACCCUUUUCUCUGGGAUAGCCUUUCGAAAGAGAGAUUAAUACCGGAUGGUCUUGUGAUACGGCAUCGUAUAUCAAGUAAAGAUUUAUUGGAAAAGGAUGGGCAUGCGUCCGAUUAGCUAGUUGGCGGGGUAAAGGCCCACCAAGGCUACGAUCGGUAGGGGUUCUGAGAGGAUGGUCCCCCACACUGGCACUGAGAUACGGGCCAGACUCCUACGGGAGGCAGCAGUAGGGAAUAUUGGGCAAUGGGCGAGAGCCUGACCCAGCCAUGCCGCGUGCAGGAAGAAGGUCCUCUGGAUUGUAAACUGCUUUAGAUAGGGAAGAAUAAGUUGGGUGCGCCCAACGAUGACGGUACCUAUAGAAUAAGCACCGGCUAACUACGUGCCAGCAGCCGCGGUAAUACGUAGGGUGCGAGCGUUGUCCGGAUUUAUUGGGUUUAAAGGGUGCGUAGGCGGGGCGUUAAGUCAGUCUUUAAAGCCAGCCGCUUAACGGUUUGGACUGGGAUUGAUACUGGCGCUCUUGAGAGGGCUCGGGGCCGGCGGAAUUUGUGGUGUAGCGGUGAAAUGCAUAGAUACCACAAGGAACACCGAUCGCGUAGGCAGCCGGCCAGGGCCUUUCUGACGCUGAGGCACGAAAGUG
rnacentral:rRNA from 1 species